rnacentral:tRNA from 1 species
GGAGAGAUGGCUGAGCUGGUCGAAGGCGCUCGACUCGAAAUCGAGUAGACCGUUAGUAGCGGUCUCGUGGGUUCGAAUCCCACUCUCUCCGCCA